CUCGCCGUAGUUCAAUGGAUAGAACGGGCGCCUCCUAAGCGCCAGAUACAGGUUCGAUUCCUGUCGGCGGGA
rnacentral:tRNA from 1 species